AGUGAACGCUGGCGGUAGGCCUAACACGUGCAAGUCGAACGGCAGCACAGGAGAGCUUGCUCUCUGGGUGGCGAGUGGCGGACGGGUGAGGAAUACAUCGGAAUCUACUUUUUCGUGGGGGAUAACGUAGGGAAACUUACGCUAAUACCGCAUACGACCUACGGGUGAAAGCAGGGGAUCUUCGGACCUUGCGCGAUUGAAUGAGCCGAUGUCAGAUUAGCUAGUUGGCGGGGUAAAGGCCCACCAAGGCGACGAUCCGUAGCUGGUCUGAGAGGAUGAUCAGCCACACUGGAACUGAGACACGGUCCAGACUCCUACGGGAGGCAGCAGUGGGGAAUAUUGGACAAUGGGCGCAAGCCUGAUCCAGCCAUACCGCGUGGGUGAAGAAGGCCUUCGGGUUGUAAAGCCCUUUUGUUGGGAAAGAAAUCCAGCUGGCUAAUACCCGGUUGGGAUGACGGUACCCAAAGAAUAAGCACCGGCUAACUUCGUGCCAGCCGCCGCUGUAA
rnacentral:rRNA from 1 species